GCCCUGCUAGCUCAGUGGUAGAGCGUCGCACUCGUAUAGUAUUGCUGCGCGUUCGUUACGAUGCGAAGGUCAGUCGUUCAAGUCGGCUGUGGGGCA